CAGAAAGAUGCCUAAGUCUUGUUGCAAAAAUUGCGGGGUGAAUAUGCCUAUCCAGCUGCUGGUGAGCCACAUUGGUGCAUGCAGCCAGCAGUUAUGUUGCCAGGAAUCAGCCUCUGACCAGGAGGAAAUGGACUUACCUGAUGUCUAUAUAGAGGAACAGGCAAAGUGUACCUGUCCAGUUUGUGGUGGGGAGUUUCCAGUAGAGCUGUUGCCCUAUCACGGAAGUUCAUG